UGAAUAUUCAGGAAGUCAAAACGUGGUCACGCGGCACUUUUCCGGAACCUGGUGAGCUGAAGUUAGCGGACUGCCAUAGCAGCUUAUAUUUACUAUGGAAGAAGAGUAUUCACAACCAUUAUUCAUAACAGAUUCUGAGGAGAGUGAAAAAGAAAUUGGAGAAAGUGAAUCUCAAGCACAGACGCAAGCUCCAAGAUUCAUGCCACUUUUCACUCCACGCUUUAGUUCUGAGAAUACAGCAUUGAUAUUUUUUAUCACUGUAUGCAAUUUUUUAC